rnacentral:rRNA from 1 species
UACGUAGGUGGCGAGCGUUGUCCGGAUUUACUGGGCGUAAAGAGCGCGCAGGCGGUCGUACAAGUCGCGUGUGAAAGCCCCCGGCUCAACUGGGGAGGGUCACGCGAUACUGUUCGACUCGAAGGCAGGAGAGGGUAGUGGAAUUCCCGGUGUAGUGGUGAAAUGCGUAGAUAUCGGGAGGAACACCGGUGGCGAAGGCGGCGAUCUGGGUCGAUACUGACGCUGAGGUGCGAAAGCGUGGGGAGCAAACAGG